rnacentral:rRNA from 1 species
GCACAAGCGGUGGAGCAUGUGGAUUAAUUCGAUGCAACGCGAAGAACCUUACCUGGGUUUGACAUGCACAGGACGCCGGUAGAGAUAUCGGUUCCCUUGUGGCCUGUGUGCAGGUGGUGCAUGGCUGUCGUCAGCUCGUGUCGUGAGAUGUUGGGUUAAGUCCCGCAACGAGCGCAACCCUUGUCUCAUGUUGCCAGCACGUUAUGGUGGGGACUCGUGAGAGACUGCCGGGGUCAACUCGGAGGAAGGUGGGGAUGACGUCAAGUCAUCAUGCCCCUUAUGUCCAGGGCUUCACACAUGCUACAAUGGCCGGUACAAAGGGCUGCGAUGCCGUGAGGUGGAGCGAAUCCUUUCAAAGCCGGUCUCAGUUCGGAUCGGGGUCUGCAACUCGACCCCGUGAAGUCGGAGUCGCUAGUAAUCGCAGAUCAGCAACGCUGCGGUGAAUACGUUCCCGGGC